AGAGUUUGAUCCUGGCUCAGAUUGAACGCUGGCGGCAUGCCUUACACAUGCAAGUCGAACGGCAGCGCGGGGCAACCUGGCGGCGAGUGGCGAACGGGUGAGUAAUAUAUCGGAACGUACCCUGGAGUGGGGGAUAACGUAGCGAAAGUUACGCUAAUACCGCAUACGAUCUAAGGAUGAAAGUGGGGGAUCGCAAGACCUCAUGCUCCUGGAGCGGCCGAUAUCUGAUUAGCUAGUUGGCGGGGUAAAAGCCCACCAAGGCAACGAUCAGUAGCUGGUCUGAGAGGACGACCAGCCACACUGGAACUGAGACACGGUCCAGACUCCUACGGGAGGCAGCAGUGGGGAAUUUUGGACAAUGGGCGCAAGCCUGAUCCAGCAAUGCCGCGUGAGUGAAGAGGGCCUUCGGG
rnacentral:rRNA from 1 species